GCGCGCUCCUGAUGUCGGAGGCGCCCACUCUGCCGGGCGGCGGCGGCGCACACGCGCGUGCACGUCGCUGCGUGGCCGCGGUUGCGCCGGGAGCGGAGGAGUGAGGUCCUGACAGAACCAGAGCUGUUAGAGCAGGGACGCGCGAAAGGCGGGAGUACGGGCGGCGCUGGAGAACCUCCGCGGCGGAGGGGCCUGGGGGUGGGACCGCGCCCGCGAGCCCGCCCUGACCGGGGUGUCUGUGUGCUUGUGAAGCGCUCCCUUGUUAGUUCCUUCUGUGAGACUCGGGGGAGACUGAAGAGGGAAAUCACCUGCGGGGAAUGAACAGGAAAGCAAUAAGAAGAUUUGGAAAAGAGGCACUGGCUACUGGAGGAAGGGAGAAAUCACCGAGAGAGCGAAAGAUGUAACAGAAAAAAAAGGCCUUAUGAAGACAUUGCAAAAGGACAACUAUCUGCAAACCAGGAAGACAGACCUCACCAGAAAUCAACCCUGCUGGUGGUACCUUGAUCUUAGACUUCCAGCCUCCAGAAGUAUGAGAAA
rnacentral:lncRNA from 1 species